UUAAAAAUCUAUCGCAUUAGCUUUGCUUUUUCAAACAUUUACACUUACACUAGCAGAAGCACAUAAAAUGGUAAUCAAACUCUCAAUUUCGUUCAAAUACAAUGAUAGCCCAACAACGUAUUUGCUAGACAUUUUGAUUUUAAUAUAAACGCAAUCGAGGAUGAUCACAAUAAGGAAGGAUAAAAGGUGUAAAUGGAAGAAAAAGAAAUACACAGUAGAGAACAUGAUUUGUUUUUUUCAAUGCAUUUGGGGCAAUGUCUUUUAGCCUCAUGGUUUAUUGAAUAUCUAACAAGAAAUAGACAACUUCAGCAGCUCAGGAUCCCAAAGCCAGGCCCAGCAAUUGGAGAUGGAAUUCGAGUGAAACUCCGUUUGCAACAGGAAAGCAGAUAUUCCUAUAUACAUACAUAGAUAUAUAGAUAUAUAUAUGCAAUAAUUAAUAUAUAUUGAUAUAGAUAUAGAUAUAUGUAUGUAUAUAUAUAGGUACGUUUGCUGCCGCUUAGGCAAAGGCAAAUACACAUACUAAAGAUGAAGAACUGAAUAAUAUGUCUUUGAAUUAAUUCAAUUGUUUUCAUACUGAGCGUAUGUAUAUAAUAUAGUUAAGAACUUAAA